rnacentral:rRNA from 1 species
UACGGAGGAUGCAAGCGUUAUCCGGAAUGAUUGGGCGUAAAGCGUCCGCAGGUGGCUGUGUAAGUCUGCUGUUAAAGAGUGAGGCUCAACCUCAUAAAGGCAGUGGAAACUACAUGGCUAGAGUGCGUUCGGGGCAGAGGGAAUUCCUGGUGUAGCGGUGAAAUGCGUAGAGAUCAGGAAGAACGCCCGUGGCGAAAGCGGCUCUCUGGGACGGUACUGACGCUGAGACGCGAAAGCGUGGGGAGCGAACAGG